AUGUUAGACUCUAUUUCAUAUAUGCAACUUGCUAUACUGUCUGCUCAAGAUAUGUUUAGUUACGGUUCAUAUAUGAAGAUGUUGUUUACCUUCUCUUUGUCAAAUCGCAUGGCUUGUUUUAUCACUGCUACACUAGUCAUGCUUUAUCUAGUAUUUCUGUUAAUAAAAUCACUCAGUAAAUUGCUCAUAUUUCCAACAAUCCAAAAACCUUAUUAUAGGCAAUUUACCCCGAGUGGUUUUGCUGCUUCCAUGAGACCUCCUAUGUUUGAGGGUAUCCACUAUAAGAGGUGGCGCGUGAGAGCAGUUUGA
rnacentral:rRNA from 1 species